rnacentral:tRNA from 6 species
GCGCGAUUAGCUCAGUGGUAGAGCGCUAGCUCGACACGCUAGAUGUCGCUGGUUCAAAUCCAGCAUCGCGCACCA